CCCAUUUCCUGUUUUGAUGUCCUAAACUAAACACGUGGAUCUAAUCUCACUCCAAGCGUCGAAGAAUUCCACGAUGUCAGCUGCUGUUCCAAUAUAAACCAAGAGAAGCUGCGAGAGUUGGUCGUGGGUGAGUUUCCCUUUGGGAAGGAGCCAGCGUCCAAGAAUGAGCAGGAGCAGGAGGAACUGUUCCAAAGUGCGGAUCCAUUGGUCGGAUGAAAGCCUUAACGGAAUGUGGAUCUCAAACUUCAUCUGCCCAACAUAACAAAAAAUAAUAAAAAAUAUGAUUAUAAAGACUGCCAAUGCUCCAGCAUGGCCACAGUGCAAUGCCUAAAAAGAGUAAAAGAAUAAAAAAUGGAUCUGGA